UGGAGAGUUUGAUCCUGGCUCAGGACGAACGCUGGCGGCGUGCUUAACACAUGCAAGUCGAACGAUGAAGCCCUUCGGGGUGGAUUAGUGGCGAACGGGUGAGUAACACGUGGGCAAUCUGCCCUUCACUCUGGGACAAGCCCUGGAAACGGGGUCUAAUACCGGAUAACACUCUGUCCCGCAUGGGACGGGGUUAAAAGCUCCGGCGGUGAAGGAUGAGCCCGCGGCCUAUCAGCUUGUUGGUGGGGUGAUGGCCUACCAAGGCGACGACGGGUAGCCGGCCUGAGAGGGCGACCGGCCACACUGGGACUGAGACACGGCCCAGACUCCUACGGGAGGCAGCAGUGGGGAAUAUUGCACAAUGGGCGAAAGCCUGAUGCAGCGACGCCGCGUGAGGGAUGACGGCCUUCGGGUUGUAAACCUCUUUCAGCAGGGAAGAAGCGAAAGUGACGGUACCUGCAGAAGAAGGACCGGCCAACUACGUGCCAGCAGCCGCGGUA
rnacentral:rRNA from 1 species